UACGAAGGGUGCAAGCGUUACUCGGAAUUACUGGGCGUAAAGCGCGCGUAGGUGGUUCGUUAAGUUGGAUGUGAAAUCCCCGGGCUCAACCUGGGAACUGCAUUCAAAACUGUCGAGCUAGAGUAUGGUAGAGGGUGGUGGAAUUUCCUGUGUAGCGGUGAAAUGCGUAGAUAUAGGAAGGAACACCAGUGGCGAAGGCGACCACCUGGACUGAUACUGACACUGAGGUGCGAAAGCGUGGGGAGCAAACAGG
rnacentral:rRNA from 1 species